AAUGUGGAAUUCGCCCUUGUGCCAGCCGCCUCUGUAUACGUAGGUGGCAAGCGUUGUCCGGAAUUAUUGGGCGUAAAGGGCUCGCAGGCGGUUUCUUAAGUCUGAUGUGAAAGCCCCCGGCUCAACCGGGGAGGGUCAUUGGAAACUGGGGAACUUGAGUGCAGAAGAGGAGAGUGGAAUUCCACGUGUAGCGGUGAAAUGCGUAGAGAUGUGGAGGAACACCAGUGGCGAAGGCGACUCUCUGGUCUGUAACUGACGCUGAGGAGCGAAAGCGUGGGGAGCGAACAGGAUUAGAUACCCUGGUAGUCCACGCCGUAAACGAUGAGUGCUAAGUGUUAGGGGGUUUCCGCCCCUUAGUGCUGCAGCUAACGCAUUAAGCACUCCGCCUGGGGAGUACGGUCGCAAGACUGAAACUCAAAGGAAUUGACGGGGGCCCGCACAAGCGGUGGAGCAUGUGGUUUAAUUCGAAGCAACGCGAAGAACCUUACCAGGUCUUGACAUCCUCUGACAAUCCUAGAGAUAGGACGUCCCCUUCGGGGGCAGAGUGACAGGUGGUGCAUGGUUGUCGUCAGCUCGUGUCGUGAGAUGUUGGGUUAAGUCCCGCAACGAGCGCAACCCUUGAUCUUAGUUGCCAGCAUUCAGUUGGGCACUCUAAGGUGACUGCCGGUGACAAACCGGAGGAAGGUGGGGAUGACGUCAAAUCAUCAUG
rnacentral:rRNA from 1 species